rnacentral:rRNA from 1 species
CACGUAGGCACCAAGCGUUGUCCGGAUUUAUUGGGCGUAAAGGGCUCGUAGGCGGUUUGUCGCGUCGGGAGUGAAAACGCCGUGCUUAACACGGCGCUUGCUUUCGAUACGGGCAGACUAGAGGUAUUCAGGGGAGAACGGAAUUCCUGGUGUAGCGGUGAAAUGCGCAGAUAUCAGGAGGAACACCGGUGGCGAAGGCGGUUCUCUGGGAAUGACCUGACGCUGAGGAGCGAAAGUGUGGGGAGCGAACAGG